rnacentral:rRNA from 1 species
GGGGAAUUUUCCGCAAUGGGCGAAAGCCUGACGGAGCAACGCCGCGUGAGGGAUGAAGGCCUCUGGGCUGUAAACCUCUUUUAUCAAGGAAGAAGAUCUGACGGUACUUGAUGAAUAAGCCACGGCUAAUUCCGUGCCAGCAGCCGCGGUAAUACGGGAGUGGCAAGCGUUAUCCGGAAUUAUUGGGCGUAAAGCGUCCGCAGGCGGCCCUUCAAGUCUGCUGUUAAAAAGUGGAGCUUAACUCCAUCAUGGCAGUGGAAACUGUUGGGCUUGAGUGUGGUAGGGGCAGAGGGAAUUCCCGGUGUAGCGGUGAAAUGCGUAGAUAUCGGGAAGAACACCAGUGGCGAAGGCGCUCUGCUGGGCCAUCACUGACGCUCAUGGACGAAAGCCAGGGGAGCGAAAGGGAUUAGAUACCCCUGUAGUCCUGGCCGUAAACGAUGAACACUAGGUGUCGGGGGAAUCGACCCCCUCGGUGUCGUAGCCAACGCGUUAAGUGUUCCGCCUGGGGAGUACGCACGCAAGUGUG